rnacentral:rRNA from 1 species
GAUGAACGCUGGCGGCGUGCCUAAUACAUGCAAGUCGAGCGAACGGACGAGAAGCUUGCUUCUCUGAUGUUAGCGGCGGACGGGUGAGUAGCACGUGGAUAACCUACCUAUAAGACUGGGAUAACUUCGGGAAACCGUAGCUAAUACCGGAUAAUAUUUUGAACCGCAUGGUUCAAAAGUGAAAGACGGUCUUGCUGUCACUUAUAGAUGGAUCCGCGCUGCAUUAGCUAGUUGGUAAGGUAACGGCUUACCAAGGCAACGAUGCAUAGCCGACCUGAGAGGGUGAUCGGCCACACUGGAACUGAGACACGGUCCAGACUCCUACGGGAGGCAGCAGUAGGGAAUCUUCCGCAAUGGGCGAAAGCCUGACGGAGCAACGCCGCGUGAGUGAUGAAGGUCUUCGGAUCGUAAAACUCUGUUAUUAGGGAAGAACAUAUGUGUAAGUAACUGUGCACAUCUUGACGGUACCUAAUCAGAAAGCCACGGCCAACUACGUG